rnacentral:rRNA from 1 species
GACGAACGCUGGCGGCGUGCUUAACACAUGCAAGUCGAACGGAAAGGCCCUGCUUUUGUGGGGUGCUCGAGUGGCGAACGGGUGAGUAACACGUGAGUAACCUGCCCUUGACUUUGGGAUAACUUCAGGAAACUGGGGCUAAUACCGGAUAGGAGCUCCUGCUGCAUGGGGGGGGUGGGAGAGCUUCGGCGGUUGGGGAUGGACUCGCGGCUUAUCAGCUUGUUGGUGGGGUAGUGGCUUACCAAGGCUUUGACGGGUAGCCGGCCUGAGAGGGUGACCGGCCACAUGGGGACUGAGAUACGGCCCAGACUCCUACGGGAGGCAGCAGUGGGGAAAAUUGCACAAUGGGCGGAAGCCGGAUGCAGCAACGCCGGGUGCGGGAUGACGGCCUUCGGGUUGUAAACCGCUUUCGCCUGUGACGAAGCGUGAGUGACGGUAAUGGGUAAAGAAGCACCGGCUAACUACGUG